rnacentral:tRNA from 1 species
GUCCGCGUAGUGCAAGGGAUAACGCGCUGGACUUUUAAGCCAGAGGUCGUCGGUUCGAAUCCCACCGAGGAUG